rnacentral:rRNA from 1 species
UGAGUGCGAGCUGCUACGGCAGCGAAGUUGGUGAUGUCAUGCUUCCAAGAAAAGCCCUAUACCCGUUAAGGCAUCAUGGCCUGUACCCGAAACCGACACAGGUGGGGUGGUAGAGAAUACCGAGGGGCGCGAGGUAACUCUCUCUAAGGAACUCGGCAAAAUGGCCCCGUAACUUCGGGAGAAGGGGUGCCACCGCAAGGUGGUCGCAGUGAAGAGGCCCAGGCGACUGUUUACCAAAAACACAGGUCUCCGCUAAGUCGCAAGACGAUGUAUGGGGGCUGACGCCUGCCCAGUGCCGGAAGGUUAAGGAAGCUGGUCAGCGCAAGCGAAGCUAGCGACUGAAGCCCCGGUGAACGGCGGCCGUAACAAUAACGGUCCUAAGGUAGCGAAAUUCCUUGUCGGGUAAGUUCCGACCCGCACGAAAGGCGUAACGAUCUGGGCGCUGUCUCGGAGAGAGGCUCGGCGAAAUAGAAUUGUCUGUGAAGAUGCGGACUACGUGCACCCGGACAGAAAGACCCUAUGAAGCUUUACUGUAGCUUGGUAUUGUGCCCGGGCUCGCAAUGCGCAGGAUAGGUGGGAGGCUUUGAUCAUCGGCUUGCGGGUCGAUGUGAGCCAACGGUGAGAUACCACUCUUUGCGAGCUAGGGUUCUAACGGCCACCCGUCAUCCGGGGGCCGGACAGUACCUGGUGGGCAGUUUGACUGGGGCGGUCGCCUCCUAAAAGGUAACGGAGGCGCGCAAAGGUUUGCUCAGGCUGGUUGGAAAUCAGCCGACGAGUGUAAAAGCAGAAGCAAGCUUGACUGUGAGACCAACAAGUCGAACAGGGAGGAAACUCGGCUUUAGUGAUCCGACGGUUCUGAGUGGAAGGGCCGUCGCUCAACGGAUAAAAGUUACUCUAAGGAUAACAGGCUGAUCUCCCCCAAGAGUUCACAUCGACGGGGAGGUUUGGCACCUCGAUGUCGGCUCAUCGCAACCUGGGGCUGAAGUCGGUCCCAAGGGUUGGGCUGUUCGCCCAUUAAAGCGGUACGCGAGCUGGGUUCAGAACGUCGUGAGACAGUUCGGUCCAUAUCCGGUGCACGCGCAGGAAUAUUGAGAGGAUUUCUCCCUAGUACGAGAGGACCGGGAGGAACGCACCUCUGGUGUACCAGUUAUCGUGCCAACGGUAAACGCUGGGUAGCCAUGUGCGGAGUGGAUAACCGCUGAAAGCAUCUAAGUGGGAAGCCCACCUCAAGAUGAGUAUUCCCAUGGCGUAAGCCAGUAAGGUCACGGGAAGAACACCCGUUGAUAGGCUCUAUGUGGAAGCGCAGUAAUGCGUGAAGCAGA